UUGAACGCUGGCGGCAGGCCUAACACAUGCAAGUCGAGCGGAUGAAGGGAGCUUGCUCCUGGAUUCAGCGGCGGACGGGUGAGUAAUGCCUAGGAAUCUGCCUGGUAGUGGGGGAUAACGUCCGGAAACGGGCGCUAAUACCGCAUACGUCCUGAGGGAGAAAGUGGGGGAUCUUCGGACCUCACGCUAUCAGAUGAGCCUAGGUCGGAUUAGCUAGUUGGUGGGGUAAAGGCCUACCAAGGCGACGAUCCGUAACUGGUCUGAGAGGAUGAUCAGUCACACUGUAACUGAGACACGGUCCAGACUCCUACGGGAGGCAGCAGUGGGGAAUAUUGGACAAUGGGCGAAAGCCUGAUCCAGCCAUGCCGCGUGUGUGAAGAAGGUCUUCGGAUUGUAAAGCACUUUAAGUUGGGAGGAAGGGCAGUAAGUUAAUACCUUGCUGUUUUGACGUUACCAACAGAAUAAGCACCGGCUAACUUCGUG
rnacentral:rRNA from 1 species